UUGUUGGGUAGGGGAGCGUUCUGUAAGCCUGUGAAGGUGUGUCGUGAGGCAUGCUGGAGGUAUCAGAAGUGCGAAUGCUGACAUAAGUAACGAUAAAGCGGGUGAAAAGCCCGCUCGCCGGAAGACCAAGGGUUCCUGUCCAACGUUAAUCGGGGCAGGGUGAGUCGACCCCUAAGGCGAGGCCGAAAGGCGUAGUCGAUGGGAAACGGGUUAAUAUUCCUGUACUUGGUGUUACUGCGAAGGGGGGACGGAGAAGGCUAUGUUGGCCGGGCGACGGUUGUCCCGGUUUAAGCGUGUAGGUGUGUGUUCCAGGUAAAUCCGGUUCACUUUAACACUGAGGCGUGAUGACGAGGCACUACGGUGCUGAAGCAACAAAUGCCCUGCUUCCAGGAAAAGCCUCUAAGCAUCAGGUAACAUCAAAUCGUACCCCAAACCGACACAGGUGGUCAGGUAGAGAAUACCAAGGCGCUUGAGAGAACUCGGGUGAAGGAACUAGGCAAAAUGGUGCCGUAACUUCGGGAGAAGGCACGCUGACACGUAGGUGAAGUGAUUUACUCAUGGAGCUGAAGUCAGUCGAAGAUACCAGCUGGCUGCAACUGUUUAUUAAAAACACAGCACUGUGCAAACACGAAAGUGGACGUAUACGGUGUGACGCCUGCCCGGUGCCGGAAGGUUAAUUGAUGGGGUCAGCGCAAGCGAAGCUCCUGAUCGAAGCCCCGGUAAACGGCGGCCGUAACUAUAACGGUCCUAAGGUAGCGAAAUUCCUUGUCGGGUAAGUUCCGACCUGCACGAAUGGCGUAAUGAUGGCCAGGCUGUCUCCACCCGAGACUCAGUGAAAUUGAACUCGCUGUGAAGAUGCAGUGUACCCGCGGCAAGACGGAAAGACCCCGUGAACCUUUACUAUAGCUUGACACUGAACAUUGAGCCUUGAUGUGUAGGAUAGGUGGGAGGCUUUGAAGCGUGGACGCCAGUCUGCGUGGAGCCGACCUUGAAAUACCACCCUUUAAUGUUUGAUGUUCUAACGUGGACCCGUGAUCCGGGUUGCGGACAGUGUCUGGUGGGUAGUUUGACUGGGGCGGUCUCCUCCUAAAGAGUAACGGAGGAGCACGAAGGUUGGCUAAUCCUGGUCGGACAUCAGGAGGUUAGUGCAAUGGCAUAAGCCAGCUUGACUGCGAGCGUGACGGCGCGAGCAGGUGCGAAAGCAGGUCAUAGUGAUCCGGUGGUUCUGAAUGGAAGGGCCAUCGCUCAACGGAUAAAAGGUACUCCGGGGAUAACAGGCUGAUACCGCCCAAGAGUUCAUAUCGACGGCGGUGUUUGGCACCUCGAUGUCGGCUCAUCACAUCCUGGGGCUGAAGUAGGUCCCAAGGGUAUGGCUGUUCGCCAUUUAAAGUGGUACGCGAGCUGGGUUUAGAACGUCGUGAGACAGUUCGGUCCCUAUCUGCCGUGGGCGCUGGAGAACUGAGGGGGGCUGCUCCUAGUACGAGAGGACCGGAGUGGACGCAUCACUGGUGUUCGGGUUGUCAUGCCAAUGGCACUGCCCGGUAGCUAAAUGCGGAAGAGAUAAGUGCUGAAAGCAUCUAAGCACGAAACUUGCCCCGAG
rnacentral:rRNA from 1 species